CUACGGGCCGCUGCAGUAGGGAAUUUUCGACAAUGGGGGGAACCCUGAUGCAGCAACGCCGCGUGGAGGAUGACGCAUUUCGGUGUGUAAACUCCUUUUAUAUGUCAAGAAAAUGACGGUAGCAUAUGAAUAAGCACCGGCUAACUCCGUGCCAGCAGCCGCGGUAAUACGGAGGGUGCAAGCGUUACUCGGAAUCACUGGGCGUAAAGGACGCGUAGGCGGGUUGGAAAGUCAGGUGUGAAAUCCUACAGCUUAACUGUAGAACUGCACUUGAAACUUCUAAUCUAGAGUAUGGGAGGGGGAGAUGGAAUUAGUGGUGUAGGGGUAACAUCCGUAGAUAUCACUAGGAAUACCUAAAGCGAAGGCGAUCUCCUGGAACAUUACUGACGCUAAGGCGUGAAAGCGUGGGGAGCAAACAGGAUUAGAUACCCUCGUAGUC
rnacentral:rRNA from 1 species